AAAGCGUGCGCAGGCGGUUAUGUAAGACAGAUGUGAAAUCCCCGGGCUCAACCUGGGAACUGCAUUUGUGACUGCAUGGCUAGAGUACGGUAGAGGGGGAUGGAAUUCCGCGUGUAGCAGUGAAAUGCGUAGAUAUGCGGAGGAACACCGAUGGCGAAGGCAAUCCCCUGGACCUGUACUGACGCUCAUGCACGAAAGCGUGAGGAGCAAACAGGAUUAGAUACCCGAGU
rnacentral:rRNA from 1 species